CGGGAUAUGGCGCAGCUUGGUAGCGCGCUUCGUUCGGGACGAUGAGGUCGCAGGUUCAAAUCCUGUUAUCCCGACCA
rnacentral:tRNA from 1 species